AUUCAAUUUUCUCUCAUCCAUAUCCUCUUCUUGCAGAGAUGAAGGUGGUGGAGAGUGCAGUGAUGUCAGGCGUACCACGGACUUACUCAACUUCAGCAACCAUUUUGGGAUUGGCAGCCCUGCUUUUGUGUCUUCUGUAAACCAGGGAUUCUGAAGCAGCUGAAUGGAAGCCCUUAGUCCAGCGAUUCGAAGAAAACAACUAGUCCUUAUUGAAAAAAAUAGAGGCAUAAGUAAGAUGGCCUUUACCUGUGUCCGAUGAUGCCUAUUCGGCUAUUAACCGGAGAUUCCCGUUUUCCAAAUUUGUUAGUCCGGUACAUCCAGGAUUGCUCACUGUUAUCGCGAAUGACCUCUAGCCGCAAGCGUGAGUUUCGGCUCGGAGAGGUUGUUGGCCCAGGGAGACUCCUCUCUACUUUCCUCAAUUUGUUUCCUUCCAUUGGGAUGUAGGACCAACACCACCCGCUGAGUUCGUUACGAAUCCUGGCAUCCUGUUUUGCGAAAACUCGGAGAAGGUCAGCAGGUUUUUAAAAGCUUUGGAAAGAAAGAGAGAGUGAGAGUGAGAGAAAGAGCGAAUGAGAAUAAGCUCCGACCGUUUAUGAGGCUGUGAAGAAAAAGAAAAAAAAGAUUAUGAAAGAUAUGAAGAUGCUUUAAGAAAGAACAAAAUAAAAAUAUCUGAUACCAAAAAUUGCAAAUAUGAUCCAGUCAUCAAAUAUCCUCAAAUAAAAAUAAUUUCAUGUUUAGAAGUGCUGAUUCUAAUCUCUCUUGUAUUUAAACUUUUUUUCUUUCUAUUUCAUAAAUGCAGAAUAUAUGUGAGGACAAACUAUUAUAUGCACUCGCGUGUGUUUGUGUGAUAUUAUUAGUCCGGUAGAGAAAGUGGUAUUGCUUUAUGUGUUGGAGUGUUUUGUAAUAAAAAGCUGCAGCCAGUGUGAGAGCAACUAUUUCUUAUGAACUGUCGUAUUUUCCAGUGAUAUACAAUAACUUGUAGACAAAUAAGAAAUACAAGGUGCUUUUGUCAUACAUACAUAUAUUUUUGCCAUAUAUAUGUGAAUAAUAAAUGUGUGUGUGUGUAUGUAUAUAUAUAUAUAUAUAU
rnacentral:lncRNA from 1 species